rnacentral:lncRNA from 1 species
CAGUGAUGGUUGUACAAAUUUGUGAAUAUACUAAAAACCACUGAAUUGUACACUUUUAAAGAAUGUGUUUUAUGUAUGUGAAUUAUAUCUUUUAGAAAGUUAUAUUUUAAAAAGAACUAUGUAUGAUUCAGCUAAAACCGGAGACUUUUUAAAGCUAAUUUGUUUCCUGGAAUCUCUCUACCUCUCCAAGCCUGGAAGAAGGAUUAACUGUCAUCUCACUGGAAGACUGUGUCUCUUUCUAGGACCUCCUGAAGAGCGCUGAUCCUGCAUUGUACACGUGGUUCUUCUCCUGUGCCUCCCCACUUGUCAGAUAAUUUCUUGAGGACAUGGAUGACUCUCUGGCACCGACAGUUCCAGGUUUUUAUUUUUGUUUCUUUAAAUAGAGCAUUCUGUUUAGCUUAAAUGUGGAAACAUAACCAUAGACGUCUGAGAAUGUGAACACAGGUUAUAAUUCUGCACAAGAAACAUGCAUUGCAAGAGUCCCCCAGCUGCUGAGUCAGAGGUCUGUUUGAGGAGGCGAUAGUUAAGGCCAGAAUUAGGAGAAGGAGCAAACCACAUAACAAUCUGGAGGAAGAGCCUUCUAGACAGAGAAUUCAUUAGGACAAAGGCCUUGAGGCAGGAAGAGCCUUUGCAUUUUCAGGGCAGAAGGAAGCAUUGUGGCUAGAGGCCAGAAGUGAGAGAGAGAGUGGAAGUGUGGUAGGUGGGGACAGACAGCGCAUAAAGGCAGCAUAGGGUGGAAGUGAUAAGUACCAGCUCUGGGACAGAGCAGUUGGAUGACACAUGGUUCUACCACUUGCUAGCUGGAGAUCUGAUUAAGUCACUUAGUCUCCCUGUGCCUUAGUUUUCCCAUCUGUAAAAUGGUUAUAGACUAGUAUUUCAUAGACUGGUUGGUAGAUUUCAAUGAGUUAACACAUACAAAGCCCUUAGAAUAGCACUUGGGAUGUGGUGAACACUCAAUAGGUCCUCGGCGUCUGCAUUCUUGCUCCUGCUGAUGUGCGUCUAGAUUCUUGCUAUGCCUGUCUUUCCAAUAUUGUAUACCCAAACCUGGGCUCCUAUUACCUUCCUGCUCUCUGCAUUUAAUUAGUUGCUUUCUUAGUGAGGGUUGGGUUUGACUGCAUGUAACAGAAAAGUCAGAAUAUAUCAGACUAAACAUAUAAAACCAAUUUUUUCUUUCAAGUAGAAAUCCUGAGGCAGGCAGGUCACUCAGGGCUGAGAUGGUGCCCUAUGCACCUUAGAGACCCCUAGUUCCUCCAUCUUACUUUUUAAAAAAUUAUCUUAGACUUUUGACUUAAGAUAAUUGCUGAAGUUUCAGCCAUUGUAUCCGCAUCUCAGAAUGACAAAAACAGAAGGAUGGAAGAACAAAAAGGCAUAUCUGCUUUAAAAACUUUUCCUGAAGCCCCAUCCUACAAUCUUUUGCCAUCACAUUGGACAGAAUUAUUUAUUUACAUGGCCAAACCUAGCUACAAGAAAGGCUGGCAAAUGUAGUUUUCUUUUCCAGCCUGGUACAUUGCAGUUCAGUUACUAAGAA